GACUUAAAAAAUCCGUCGACUUUAUAAAUCAUGAGG
rnacentral:tRNA from 1 species